AAUACAUUAGCGAAUGGCUCAUUAUAUAANUUAUCGUUUAUUUGAUUACCUUACUACAUGGAUAACCGUGGUAAUUCUAGAGCUAAUACAUGCUGAAAAUCCCGACUUCUCAAGGGAUGUAUUUAUUAUAUUCNAAACCAAUGCCCUUCGGGGCUCCAAUGGUGAUUCAUGAUAACUUCUCAAAUCGCACGGCCCCGCGCCGGCNAUGGUUCAUUCAAAUUUCUUCCCUAUCAACUUUCUAUGCUACGGUAGUGUCCUAGCAUGGUUGCAACGGGUAACGGGGAAUAACGGGGAAUA
rnacentral:rRNA from 1 species